GAUGAAGAACGCAGCAAAAUGCGAUAAGUAAUGUGAAUUGCAGAAUUCAGUUAAUCAUCGAAUCUUUGAACGCACAUUGCGCCCGCCAGUAUUCUGGCGGGCAUGCCUGUUCGAGCGUCAUUUCAACCCUCAAGCACAGCUUGGUGUUGGGACUCGCGUUAAUUCGCGUUCCCCAAAUUGAUUGGCGGUCACGUCGAGCUUCCAUAGCGUAGUAGUAAAACCCUCGUUACUGGUAAUCGUCGCGGCCACGCCGUUAAACCCCAACUUCUGAAUGUUGACCUCGGAUCAGGUAGGAAUACCCGCUGAACUUAAGCAUAUCAAUAAGCGGAGGA
rnacentral:misc_RNA from 1 species